GCCUCCUGAACCUCAGAGCAGAGACGACUUUUUAAAAUACUUCUGUCCCCUCACUCUGGACAUCAACACUGCACACAGACUCCUUCGUCUGUCUGAAGGGAACAAGAAGGUGACACGUGAGGGGAUAGUGACUGAAUAUCCUGAUCUCUGACUAGGACUCGCUGUUACUGGGAGGUGGAGUGCAGUGGAGACAUCGUGGAGACUGGAAUUGCAUAUAAAGGACUGAGCAGGAAAGGAGUGGACAGGGAGUGCAGCUUUGGAAACAACGACAACUCCUGGUGUUUGCAGUGGUCUUAUUCCCAGUACUCUGUGUGGCACAAUAACCAGCAGACUGUAAUCAGCGCCCCCUACAGCCCCACAAUAGGUGUGUAUCUGGACUGGCCUGCUGGCUCUCUGUCAUUUUAUAGCGUCUCACACACAAUGACCCUCCUGCACAGGUUCAACACCUCCUUCACUGAGCCCCUCUAUCCAGGGUUUCGGUUUGGUCGUAACUCCAGUAUAACCAUCAGCCAUCUGACACCAUGUGACCACUGAUCAGUACCCUCCUCCGGUCACUUGAUGUCCCCACAGGCUCAGGUAUCUUUGUGUUUGUGGUUUGGGGUCAAAAUUAAUUUUACACAAUAGGUUGGUCAGCACCUCUGAGUGAAUUUGUGGCUCCAGCAGGACCACAUGCCUGUCUUAGUAUCCAGAGCCUCAUUCCAGUGACUAUUUAGAAGCACAGAGUGACAGAAGUGACUGGAGUGCUGGCCUCUGAACAGACAUUGUCUGUCCCUC